AAGUCGUAACAAGGUUUCCGUAGGUGAACCUGCGGAAGGAUCAUUACAAAUCCAUUUUUUUUCUCUUUAAGGUGCCAGCUGAGCGGGUUGACGAGGUCUCACAACCUUGUCCUUCUGCUCGCUGCCCUUAAGGGAAAAAAAAACCAUAUACCUCAAAAACCCCUUUGUGCACUGUUGAAAAGGCGUCAACGUGGGGAGUACCCCCGUUAGUCGUCUACCCAUUUCAAAACGCUUUUAUUUUUGUUUUGCCUAAAGGUUUUUGAACCCAAGUGAUUUAAAUAAAUCUAAAAUACAACUUUUAGCAACGGAUCUCUUGGCUCUC
rnacentral:misc_RNA from 1 species